UAUGUGAUCGUCUCUCGCAUAUCAAUAAGCGGAGGAAAAGAAACUAACAAGGAUUCCCCUAGUAACGGCGAGUGAAGCGGGAAGAGCUCAAAUUUGAAUCUUAAAGGGUUUCCCUUUACGAAUUGUAGUUUAAAGAAGUGUUUUCUGUUGAGGUUUUGGUAAAAGUUCUUUGGAAUAGGACAUCAUAGAGGGUGAGAAUCCCGUAUUUGACCUUUACUUUCAACUUUGUGAUACACUUUCAAAGAGUCGGAUUGUUUGGGAAUGCAGUCCAAAAUGGGUGGUAAAUUUCAUCUAAAGCUAAAUAUUGGCGAGAGACCGAUAGCGAACAAGUACCGUGAGGGAAAGAUGAAAAGAACUUUGAAAAGAGAGUUAAACAGUACGUGAAAUUGUCAAAAGGGAAGCGUUUGACACCAGUGUUGUUUUUCUGAAAAUCAAUUAAAGAACUGUUUAUGCUAAGCUGUUUAGACUUUAUCAGCUAUCUGUUUAGUUUUGAGCUUUUCUUUAAUGCACUUUUCAGUUAACAAGUCAACAUCAAUUUCUUUUGCUGUAAAAAAGCUUGAGGAAGGUGGCUUGAGAUUCGUCUUAAGUGUUUAUAGCCUCUUGCCUAUGCAGUCGGAGAGAUUGAGGUCUGCAGCGUAGAUCCUUCGGGGCUAAAUGCAUUUGUGCUAAGUUAUAGCAUUUUAUAGACAACUUGUUGACUAUGAUUUGUCUUGUAGCUUACUCGCUUAUGUUAUUUUACCUACGCUUAGGAUGUUGAACGCGCACAGAGUCUC
rnacentral:rRNA from 1 species